UACGUAGGGUGCAAGCGUUGUCCGGAAUUAUUGGGCGUAAAGAGCUCGUAGGCGGUGUGUCGCGUCGGCCGUGAAAACCUGCAGCUCAACUGCAGGCUUGCGGUCGAUACGGGCAGGCUAGGAGUUCGGUAGGGGAGACUGGAAUUCCUGGUGUAGCGGUGAAAUGCGCAGAUAUCAGGAGGAACACCGGUGGCGAAGGCGGGUCUCUGGGCCGAUACUGACGCUGAGGAGCGAAAGCGUGGGGAGCGAACAGG
rnacentral:rRNA from 1 species